CCUACGGGUGGCAGCAGUGAGGAAUAUUGGUCAAUGGGCGCGAGCCUGAACCAGCCAAGUAGCGUGAAGGAUGACGGCCCUACGGGGUGUAAACUGCUUUUAUAAAGGAAGAGAGUGCGGCACGUGUGCCGUUUUGUAUGUAGUUUAUGAAUAAGGAUCGGCUAACUCCGUGCCAGCAGCCGCGGUAAUACGGAGGAUCCGAGCGUUAUCCGGAUUUAGUGGGUUUAAAGGGAGCGUUGAUGGGUUGUUAAGUCCGUGGUGAAAGUUUGCGGCUCAACCGUAAAAUUGCAAUUGAUACUGGCAGCCUUGAGUACAGUUGAGCUAGGCGGAAUUCGUGGUGUCGCGGU
rnacentral:rRNA from 1 species